UAUGUUAUGAGAGGCUCACUAUUUUUCCAAACGUUCCAAAUAAUUCUAGGUUUCUGAAUCCUUUUCAUUUCUUUCUUUCUUUUUUAAUAAAAAAAUUGUGUCCAUUUUUUUGUGUUCCUCUGAAGAAUUUAUUUUCAAUUUGUGAUGCAAGCUGCAAAUAUACCUUUCAGAUUCUCAAUGUACUUGUCAUUUUUCUCCCCUUUUUUUUGAAUGUUAUUUUGUCUGUCUAACUUGUGACCAGAUCUAUUAAAGUGCUGAUGGAAUCAAGUUGUGAAGAGUUGGAGGAUACAUCCCUUCUUUGAAGAUGUCUUUUCAGAAUAAUUAUGAAUCGGGAAGAAAUAUGUGAAGACAAAGAGCGUGAGAAACCAAGACAAGAUUAAUGGAAGCUUUAAGAUUGGCUUCAUUUGCACUUUAAUAACUGUUGUGCCAAAUUGCAAUCUAUAUCAAGUUCAUUUGUAUUGGGUGUAAAUUCUUCAAUUUGUGUUUAUUUUCAUGAAUCUGAUUGCAGUUUA